UACGAAGGGUGCAAGCGUUACUCGGAAUUACUGGGCGUAAAGCGUGCGUAGGUGGUUCGCUAAGUCUGAUGUGAAAGCCCUGGGCUCAACCUGGGAACUGCAUUGGAUACUGGCGUGCUCGAGUGCGGGAGAGGGAAGCGGAAUUCCUGGUGUAGAGGUGAAAUUCGUAGAUAUCAGGAGGAACAGCCGUGGCGAAGGCGACUGCCUGGACCAGUACUGACACUGAGGCACGAAAGCGUGGGGAGCAAACAGG
rnacentral:rRNA from 1 species